UUGAGGUUAUAAUUUUUUGCAAUCAAAUAUCUUACCGUGCAAAACCCCGAUCGGGAUAACCUAUAUGUCUAUAUAAAGACGAAGGAGUUUUCUUUCAAUAUUUCAAAAUUCAUAAUAAUCGUAUGCACAGUUUUUUUUAUAAUGAUUUUUAAAAAAUUUGCAUUUGAUCAAUAAAUAAAUUGAGUCAUACAGCAACUAAUUAGGGUUUAACAGCCAACACCAUCUAGUGUUUGUUUUCGUUUUAUGUGUGAUAAAUUUCAGGGUUUGAAAAUGCUGGACUAUUUUCAAGCAAUUAUUUUUGUUUACGAAAAUGAAAUAAGCAAAAUGCAAAUGCAACAUUCAGUUUGCGUUUAUGUUUCAUACUAAGUGUGUGCGAAGGUUGAAGCAAUGAAUCGGGAUAUAUUAACUGGCGUAUUGAUUGGGCUGCUGGUUGACGGUAAAAAUCAACCCCAGCGUC